rnacentral:rRNA from 1 species
GGAUGAACGCUGGCGGCGUGCCUAAUACAUGCAAGUCGAACGAAUCUCUUUUAGAGAUGAGUGGCGAACGGGUGAGUAAUACAUAGGUAACCUGCCCCUGUGCGGGGGAUAACAGGAGGAAACUCCUGCUAAUACCGCAUAGCCAUGAGCACCGCAUGGAGCCUCAUGCCCAAAUAUCCUUUAUGGGAAUAGCGCAGGGAUGGACCUAUGGCGCAUUAGCUGGUUGGCGGGGCAACGGCCCACCAAGGCAACGAUGCGUAGCCGGCCUGAGAGGGCGGACGGCCACAUUGGGACUGAGACACGGCCCAGACUCCUACGGGAGGCAGCAGUAGGGAAUUUUCGGCAAUGGGGGAAACCCUGACCGAGCAACGCCGCGUGAGCGAAAGAAGGCCUUCGGGUCGUAAAGCUCUGUUGUAAAGGAAGAACGGCGCAUACAGGAAAUGGUAUGCGAGUGACGGUACUUUACCAGAAAGCCACGGCUAACUACGUGCCAGCAGCCGCGGUAAUACGUAGGUGGCGAGCGUUAUCCGGAAUCAUUGGGCGUAAAGAGGGAGCAGGCGGCCGCAAGGGUCUGUGGUGAAAGCCCGAAGCUAAACUUCGGUAAGCCAUGGAAACCGGGCGGCUAGAGUGCGGAAGAGGAUCGUGGAAUUCCAUGUGUAGCGGUGAAAUGCGUAGAUAUAUGGAGGAACACCAGUGGCGAAGGCGACGGUCUGGGCCGCAACUGACGCUCAUUCCCGAAAGCGUGGGGAGCAAAUAGGAUUAGAUACCCUAGUAGUCCACGCCGUAAACGAUGGUCACUAAGUGUCGGGGGUCAAACCCCGGUGCUGCAGUCAACGCAAUAAGUGACCCGCCUGAGUAGUACGUUCGCAAGAAUGAAACUCAAAUGAAUUGACGGAA